rnacentral:misc_RNA from 1 species
UAAUAAGUUGUUUAUGGCACUUUUUAAAUCCAUAUCCACCUUGGUGCAAUGUCAGUCGAUCUUCUUCAUGGAGAUCGACCAAACAUCAACCUUUAUAUCUAUUCUAUUUAUAACUCUUUGUCUGAAAAAUAUUAUGAAUAAUACAAUUCAAAAUAC